rnacentral:rRNA from 1 species
GUGGGGAAUAUUGGACAAUGGGGGGAACCCUGAUCCAGCCAUGCCGCGUGUGUGAAGAAGGCCUUUUGGUUGUAAAGCACUUUAAGCGAGGAGGAGGCUACCGAGAUUAAUACUCUUGGAUAGUGGACGUUACUCGCAGAAUAAGCACCGGCCAACUCUGUGCCAGCAGCCGCGGUAAUACAGAGGGUGCAAGCGUUAAUCGGAUUUACUGGGCGUAAAGCGCGCAGAGGUGGCCAAUUAAGUCAAAUGUGAAAUCCCCGAGCUUAACUUGGGAAUUGCAUUCGAUACUGGUUGGCUAGAGUAUGGGAGAGGAUGGUAGAAUUCCAGGUGUAGCGGUGAAAUGCGUAGAGAUCUGGAGGAAUACCGAUGGCGAAGGCAGCCAUCUGGCCUAAUACUGACACUGAGGUGCGAAAGCAUGGGGAGCAAACAGGAUUAGAAACCCUGGUAGUCC